UUAGAUUUAUGAAGUAACUGUAACUAUUAUAUGUAAUUAUCUUGUACCUUCUCGUGCUUUCCUUGCAUCUUUACUGUUUACAAUAAUAUUAUAUUGUUGAUUAUUUUCAUCUAUAAGACACAAUUCUUCUAAGGGCGUCGCCAUCUUUCUACUGCCGAUGCCUUAUCUCGCCGACGACAGUAACGGCUACGUUCCAAAAUUGAUUGCCAGCGCUGCGAGCGCUAAACAUUGCGUUCCAAAAAUCAUAGCAGCGCGCUGUAACAGCACUGUGACUGAAGGAUGACGUCAUCAAUUUUAACGUCACUUCCUGCUGUAGCUGCUCAGGCUAAAAAGGUGAAGCAGCUACAGCUUAAAAAUGGCGAAGAUCAUAGGCGAAUCUUUAACCUUAAUAGACGCUGAAGAGAAUAAAGAAUAUACAAUAAUUGUUUCUGAAGAAGACGCGACAAGAGCAAGGAAUGAUAAAUAUAUAGUUUUCGUAACGUAUAUUAUAGAAAUAUUUUAUUAAUAAAGUUAACUUAACCUAAUCUACUACCGACACUUUAUAAAAAUGCUCUUCGUGUUGUUAUCUUAUUUGAAAAUUUGUUUCUAGAUCACAUAUUUGCCUACUCAUUACUGAGUCAAGCAAAAAAAGAAAGUGCAGAGCAGCAAGUUAUGACAAUUAAAACUGGUGCGGUUGCUACUUGCCAGGAGAAUAGUGAUGUAUCAGAUGAUGCAGCUUAAAAUAAUAACGAUGCAGUUGCUACUUGUAGCCAGGCGAUUAGUGAUGUACCUUCAGAGAUGCAGCUUCAGAUAAUAAAGAACAACACAUAUGGAGUCGCGCAAAAACAUUACUGCUGUUAAAUUUAUAUAAAAAGCACAAUGAAUGCCACAAUCCGAAAAUAUCAUCCAAGAAAUUGUGGGAUAUAAUUUCCCAAAAAAUGGCUGUUCAAGGUUAUAUGAUAUCAGCAAUAAAAUGUGCGACGAAAUUCCAAUAUAUGAAAAGAACGUACAAGUCAAUCAGUGAUCAUAAUAAAAAAUCUGGAAACAAUCGAAAAAAAUGGGAAUAUUAUGAGGUUUCAUUUUUUCAGAAGUUUAUCCCAAAAGGAUAAAGAAAAUAACUUGCAAAAACGUCACGAGGAAAAAA
rnacentral:lncRNA from 1 species